CACAUCCCUGCCAGCCGCGGCAGAGAGGACGACCCCCCCAGGGGAGCGGGAAGAGACUGCUGAGAUUGUAACAUCUAGCCCUUACCCCGCUUCCUUCCAGGGUCUGGAGGUCGGGGGUCGUAUGCACCCCAGUCUCUGCGCACCCCCGCGUACCUCCCCGCCCCGGGUUCAGCCCUCUUGGAAGGUCCAGUACGCCCUGGAACUCGAACUCGGAACCACUGAGCGGCCUGCCCUGCUCCCCUUCUUCCUGACAGCCCCUCCAAGUCCUCCGAAGUAAGGCGAGAAGAAGAUGUGGUGUAUAUUCCAGAUGACAUCUUCAAAAAGGGACAGGGGACCGAAUGAGCAGAGACCAAGUCUGCUGAAGGAAGAACUUCACUCAUCAUCAGAGAAUUAAAAGCACAUGAAUAGUCUAUAUGAGAAAUGCCCCCAUCAACAAAACAGGAAAUGGUAAGUGCUGGUGGGGAUUCGAAGAAAGAGGAACUCUGCUACCCUGUUGGUGGGAAUGCAAGCUGGGGCAGCCCCUGUGGAAAACAGUCUGGAGAGUCCUUAAAUACUUUAUGAUCCAGCAAUACCACCCUUGGACAUUCAUCCAGAAGACAUGAAAAUACUGACACGAAGGGACACAUGCACCCCUGUGUUCAUAGCUGCACUAUUCACAGUAGCCAAGCAGUGGAAGCAACCUGAAUGUCCAUCCACAGAUAACUGGCCAGAGAAAUUAUGGGACAUGGACUCAGUGGAAUUAAUACUCCUGUGCAAUUCAGAGAGAUGACAUUGUGUCCUCCAGGGCCAAAUGGAUGGGAACUGGAGGUGACUGUGCUAAGUUUUCACUCAUAUAUGUAGUAAAGAACUAAAACACAUGCAUUUGGGAAAAAAAAUGGGGCCAGAUGGUGGCGCACCUGGUUAAGCACACACAUUACAGUGUGCAAGGACCUGGGUUCAAGCCCCUGGUCCCCACCUUCAGGGGGAAAGCUUCACGAGUGCUAAAGCAGGGCUGCAAGUAUCUCUCUGUCUCUCUCCAUCUCUCUCUUCCCCUCCCCUUGAUUUCUCUCUGUCUCUAUCCAAUAAUAAAUAAAACACUAAGAAAUAUGUAGUGAACCAGUCUCUUAAGACCUUGGGAGAACUAUGGUGUUUAUCCUUAGGGGCAUUGUGGUAGGGGCACAGAACUUUGGUGGUGGAAGUGGUGUGGACCUCUUAUUAUUUUAUAAUUCUCCAAAUUACUAUUAAAUCACUAAUAAAAAGUAAGUUUAAGAAAAUGAGGAGAAACAGAAGAAUGAAUAUGGGAUGAUCUCACUCUCAGGCAGAAGUUGAAAAACAAGACCAGAAAAGAAAACACAAGUAGAACCUGAAAUGGAAUUGGCGUAUUGCACCAAAGUAAAAGACUUUGGGGUGGGUGGGUGGGGAGAAUACAGGUCCAUGAAGGAUGAUAAAUGACAUAGUGGGGGCUGUAUUGUUAAAUGGGAAACUGGGGAAUGUUAUGCAUGUACAAACUAUUGUACUUACUGUUGAAUGUAAAACAUUAAUUCCCCAAUAAAGAAAUAAAUUUAAAAAAAAAAAGAAAAGAAAAUAAGGAAUCCAGGGCCAGGUGAUGGCGAACCUGCUUAAGUGCUCACACUACAGUGUGUAAGGACACAGGUUCAAGUCCCUGGUCCCCACCUACAGGGAGAAAGCUUCACAAGUGGUGAAGCAGGGCUGUAGGUGUCUCUCUGUCUCUUUCUUCCUCUCUAUCUCCUCACCCCCUCUCAAUUUCUCUCUGUCUCUAUCUGAUAAUAAACAAAUAAAGUUUUCAAAAGGGAAUUCCAGAAGAGACUGUGAAAGGGGUGACAUUUGAGAAGGGCCAGGCAGAGGAGUGUGGGGGUUCAUCAGGAGGAGCUGGGGAUGAAUGUACCGUGGUAGACAGAGCAUGUGCGGGGCAGUGGGCCAGCUGACACCCUUGAGCACGGGCCACAUGGCUGAGUCACCUACACUCUCACACCUGAACACCUGACAGUCACUCUGAGCUUCACGCAGAAUAUCUGAAACCCGUGAAGCCAGCUGCUCCUUCUCAAAGGAAAACACCUCGCUGUGGCAGCGGCCCAGCAGGGGAACACAGGACUUGCAAGCCUGAGGCCCUGAGUUUGUUUCUCAGCACCACACAUGUCAAAAUGAUGCUCUGUUCUCUCCCUGGUGAACAAAUAAAUAAAUGAAUCUUUAAA